GUUCAGCAUGGAUUGAGCCUCAGAUUAAUGUUAAGCGUCUUGCCGGACGCGUAAUGUUAACUGGGGCUUUU
rnacentral:misc_RNA from 2 species